CCUACGGGUGGCAGCAGUGAGGAAUAUUGGUCAAUGGGCGCGAGCCUGAACCAGCCAAGCCGCGUGAGGGAAGAAGGUCCUAUGGAUCGUAAACCUCUUUUGUCGGGGAGCAAAAGACGCCACGCGUGGCGUUCCGAGAGUACCCGAAGAAAAAGCAUCGGCUAACUCCGUGCCAGCAGCCGCGGUAAUACGGAGGAUGCGAGCGUUAUCCGGAUUUAUUGGGUUUAAAGGGUGCGCAGGCGGAAGAUCAAGUCAGCGGUAAAAUUGCGGGGCUCAACCUCUUCGAGCCGUUGAAACUGGUGGUCUUGAGUGCGUGAGAGGUAUGCGGAAUGCGGGGUGUAGCGGUGAAAUGCAUAGAUAUCACGCAGAACUCCGAUUGCGAAGGCAGCAUACCGGCGCUCAACUGACGCUCAUGCACGAAAGUGUGGGUAUCGAACAGGAUUAGAUACCCGUGUAGUC
rnacentral:rRNA from 1 species